rnacentral:rRNA from 1 species
CGAACGCUGGCGGCGUGCUUACCACAUGCAAGUCGAACGGAAAGGCCCUGCUUUUGUGGGGUGCUCGAGUGGCGAACGGGUGAGUAACACGUGAGUAACCUGCCCUUGACUUUGGGAUAACUUCAGGAAACUGGGGCUAAUACCGGAUAGGAGCUCCUGCUGCAUGGUGGGGGUUGGAAAGUUUCGGCGGUUGGGGAUGGACUCGCGGCUUAUCAGCUUGUUUGUGGGGUAGUGGCUUACCAAGGCUUUGACGGGUAGCCGGCCUGAGAGGGUGACCGGCCACAUUGGGACUGAGAUACGGCCCAGACUCCUACGGGAGGCAGCAGUGGGGAAUAUUGCACAAUGGGCGGAAGCCUGAUGCAGCAACGCCGCGUGCGGGAUGACGGCCUUCGGGUUGUAAACCGCUUUCGCCUGUGACGAAGCGUGAGUGACGGUAAUGGGUAAAGAAGCACCGGCUAACUACGUG